UUAACGUACUGAUUGCGUUUCUAGUUUACACCGACAGAUUGAAAGCAUGGUACGCUUGAGAACCACAUUAACAUGUAUUUCUUUAACUUAUUUUACACAUUUGAUAAAUUGCAAUGUAAUAUUAGUUAUUGAUUCCAAUGAUCUAGAUGAUCUAACUAGGAAACUAGCUCCAAACGAAGAACACCCGUUUAUAUCAACUAAAAAGGUGUCCACUGUAAAGAGAAAGAUUCCUCCAUAUAUAACACCGGAAUACGAUUACAACAGAAAAUAUCUUAGGAAUAUAUUUAAGCCCAAUAACAGACUGCACGAAAAACUGCCUGAAAAUAAUAGAAACGUACUCCAACAAGUUUACAAAUUAAUGUUCAAACCUAAAACCUACAAAGGCCGAAACCCAAUCAAUGCCAUCUUGAAAUUAGUGGGCAGACAAAAUGGCCGACAUAUUUUGAAUCUAGAUCCAAGCGAAAAACACUCGUUUAUAUCUACUAAAAAGUUGUCCACUGAAAGGAGAAAGAUUCCUCCAUAUAUAACACCGGAAUAUGGUUACGACAGAAAAUAUCUUAGGAACAUAUUUAAGCCCAAAUACAGACUGCACGAAAAACUGCCUGAAAAUAAUAGAAACCUAUUCCAACAAGCUUACGAAUUAAUGUUCAAACCUAACCCCUACGGAGGCCGAAACCCAAUCAACGCCAUCUUGAAAUUAGUGGGCAAACAAAAUGGCCGACAUAUUUUAAGGGACCAUGAAGAGUUGGAGGCUUUGGAUGGUAAAGUUUAUGAUCCUUCGCAUGUUCAAAGUGGCAGGCCGGUGGAAAUAGUCGUUGACUUGAACCCAAAAAAGAAAAAAGAGAUGCAAUAUAAUUUUCCUAAAUUUUCUCUUUAUGAUUAUUGGACGUACGAUAAGUCGCUGUUCCAAGACCGCUGUCCGAUAAACACUGCUUUAGUUGACAAACACUGCAUCCAUGCGCCACACAUAGUCACGUAAAUAUUCGUUUCAAUAUUAAAUAAUACAUGCCUAUGGUA